AGAGGGCACACGGCACAGCGAUGUCCCCCCUUCCCAGAUAUACCUGAGAAAGAGACGCAUCUUUGGCCAGAAUGUAUUUACACACUUGGCACUUAGUCUCAGGCUGUUGCUUGGUUUAGCUUCUCCAGUCUCUGCCUCCCCUCUUCGAUCUUUGCCAUUUCCCAGUCCUGGUCACUUCACUUCCAGGACCACCUCGCCAAGGGCAAGCCAGGGCACCCAGAGGCUGAAACUCCACCAAGCGACUCCAGCUCCUUGAGGACAGCUCUGGGAAAACCCUUUCCUUUUCCUGGGAGGGAAGAAGGUGGAAUUUAUAGUCUGAAAAAGGGGAUUUUGAGUAAUCUUCAGAUUUGGUCCAGCCUGAGAGGAGCUAGAGAACGAUCAGGACCCAUCUGCCAGCUGUCAUGCGCAGCCUCUGCGAGGGCCGAUGACCUCCUGGGCUGCCAGCCCAUCCCAGACAGUCGCGGUCUUUCACAUCCUCCCACCUCUGUUCUCUCUCUUCUGUUCUUCCUAGAGAGGCUGCCUCCGAAGAGUGAGGUUCUGCAGCUGCCCCAGCCCCUCGCCUCCUUCCACACUCUCCCAGGAAAAUCAUCCAAAGAGCUUUCUGGUCCCCUCCCUUCCCCUCUUCUGUGCCCUGCAGAUUCACGAUGACCCCGGCCUCCAUUCCACUCCCCUUAAGGAGGGAGUCCGUCCUGCCCAGGGAUGAGGGCCUCAUGCCUCUGCCUCUCGCUGUUCUCUUUGAGCAGUCACUAUUAACUACCACCACCUAGCGGCCAGCCGCGCGGCCUCGGUGGACGAUGAUGAGGAAGAGGAGGAUAAACUGCACGCGAUGCUCUCAAUGAUCUGCUCGCGGAACCUCACAGCUCCCAAUCCGAUGAAAGACGCUGGUGACAUGAUCGAGAUGCAGGGCUUUGGGCCCAGCCUGCCAGCCUGGCACCUGGAACCCCUGUGCAGUCAGGGCUCCUCCUGCCUCUCCUGUUCCUCCAGCAGCUCCCCACAUGCAACCCCCAGCCACUGUAGCUGCAUCCCCGACCGGUGAGUGGGCAGCGCUCGGCCCCAGCUUCCCGUUAGCGUGUCCAGCCACGUGUGUGUCCGUCUGUCCUUAAAGGCCGUGUCACCUGCACGACAGGGUGGCCUCUGGAGUGGGACAGAUCAGGGUUCAAAUUUCACUUUUGCUACCCACGUGACUUACAAGUUACGGAAUUACCGUGAGCCUCUACGUUUCUGAACCUCAGUUUCCUCAUCUGUAAAAUGGGGAUGAUGCCACUUGCUGCCUGCGGUACUUAUGAGGACAGAAUGAGAGAGAACCCAAGUGAAGGUCCGGAGUUGUGCCGGCACAUCAUGGGCUCAGUCCCCGCCAGCUCCCCUUCCCGAUGUGCACACAGACCCUGCUGACAGGCCGUCCACCUGAGGACACUCAGCAGCCACCUGCCGUGUGCC
rnacentral:sRNA from 1 species